rnacentral:lncRNA from 1 species
UCUAAUCAUGCAUUUUGCCCUUGCCUUUGCUCGAAGAAGGCUUCUUAGGUUCCUCGAACUUAACUGGAAUGGUUAUGCAAGGGUGUGCAAUCAAUUUACCCACAAGUAUAAUAAUAUAUAAUAAAUGACUCAUAAAAGAAACAUAUGUUUAUUCUUCAAUUGAAUGAAAAGUCCCUUAUUGGAAUAAAUCAUUAAUAAGUCAAAAACUUUUGAAAUCAACGAGAUAAUCAAUUCUAUAAAUCAAAUCAUAGAUGUUGAAUUCAAAUGUAUACACCGAGGGUCACAAGACCAUGAACUAUAUCCUAAGUUCACAAGUAUUUCUACUGUAACCUUUAACAGUCAAAAUACAAUGGACCAUCUCAGCCCUUCGUAUUAUGUAUUGUGCAUAAAUAUAUCAUCGUUAUUGCGUAGUUCAGAAUUAUAGUUUUCGAUAACAUUUUCCCUUGAAUAGGGUUGUUCAUCUCAGCUUUAUCACAAGAAAUUAACCACACCAAAAUAAUUCAAUUUGGUAUAACUUCAGAAAUAAUUCUAGAUUUUUAGAACGCUCAUCGAAUAAGGACUAGCCGAAUCAAAUGGGUUCGAUAUUAAAUCAAAGGAUUCAAUAAUCAUAUCAAGUUGUGGCACAUCAACAUGCCAUAAAUCGUUAAUUUCAAUUAAAAUAGAAUUACAACUAUUCAUAAUUGAACAAGUGUCAUUUAUCAAAGUAAUGCUUUUGAAAAUAAUUAGAGAGAUUGCAAGUACUCAACAAAUUAAUUCAAGUACGAAAGGAAUAAUAUAUAAUAGAAAAUUUUGCUCAAUAUUGAAAUAUAAGCAAAAGUUAAGAAACUUGAGCGCCCGCUACAAAGUUAUGAUAUACGUCCUUUAAAUAUCCUACACAUUUUAGUCAUGAUAAUACAUUGAUUAGCUAUGAAACAAUGUUCACUAACCUCUUACACUAACUCCAUUCUAUGACCCAUCAUUCUUUGAUGUGAAUACGACUUGUUAUUAUAUCUUUUUACACACUUAACACCUCAUUAUGUUCAUUAGAAUAAGUUAAGUAAAACAUCUCCCAAUAUGUACAUUUAAAAUCUCAUUACUUGGCCUGAUCUACCACCAGCGCGGCCGCGCCACAUUUGGCCUUGGUACCAGCGUGGCAGCGCUUUUGCGCAGUCGAGCCCAGUUAAGCUUGGAUCAUGGUGUGACAGUGCCCUCCUGCAGAAUAAGUUUUCCAAUUUUGUUUCAUACUCUGUUUCCAUCUGAACUUUCUAUCUUAUUCAUUUAGGGACCAAAUCAGAUAGUUUACAAUUCUAUAAACUCGCUACACACUGAACUACACAUUUACAUAACAAUUUUUCCAUUACAGGAAUUCUAUCCAACCAUUUAAAUAACCCAAAUUCAGUAUUCAUGUUAUAUAUUCCUAUUUUAACAUAUUUUACGAAUUCGUUGUAAGUCCGAUUUAAUUCAUUCAAACUGGAUUGUUUUUGUAUUUGAGAGAUAUAUAACAUAGAAUCAUCAAUUCAAGACUUUAAACAUAAUAUUAGAACCAAUUUAUCCUCUAAAUCAGAGCCAAAAUAUCUAAAAUCAGUCCAAAGUCUAUUUCUUUCUCUUUUACACACAAAUUCUAAUUUGAUUACUCUAAUUUUACUGUAAAUGACAAAAAUCAAAUUAUUAAUCAAUUGAAAUCACGUAAUUUGAAAUUUUCACCAACUCAUUCAACCAAACAACUUCUAAUAGAGAAAAACUUAAGAAAUAGGAAUAAGAAGUUUUGAAGUGUCUUUCCUACCUCUUAGAUCUUCUUUAGCCUAGUUAGAUUAUGAAGAAUGCUUGGUUAACUCUUCCUUCUUCUCCUUGAUCAACAAAGUUUUCUCCAUACUUCGCAGGAAGCCCAUUGACGCUCUUUCUCUCUCUUUGAGUUCUCUCAAUUUUCUCUCUACCGGAUUUCUUCUUAACGAAAUGGAAUAAUAAGGAAAUGAGAGUAAUAUACUUGUAAUUAAUUAACCGAUCGGUUAAGGAAUGGAAGGUCAGAGCCGUUUGGGAGAGCUCAGGUACAUUUCAAG